UGCAUCUGCCGGGAAUCGAACCCGGCCCGCGUGGCAGGCGAGCAUUCUCGCCACUGAACCACCGACGC